AUGGCGGUUAACCUGGAACAGCUUGUUGAUGACAGCGAUUGGACUGAGGUAAAGGUUAUCAACCGCUACGCUGUGUUCAUGAGUUAUCUAUCCAUGGCCAUCAAGGGCUUGGGUUUCUUGGUGCUUACUUGGACCACCGUUGUACUUCUCGGUGGCUUCGUCUCUAUGCUGCAUAAGAAGGACUUUUGGUGUUUGACCUUCAUCACCCUUGUACAGACAGCUGGGAUUUUUGAUGUUAAUCUGAAUGAGAAACUAGGCUAUAUGAAGAAUGCAUUCAUGGGGUUCUUCGUGGCCAUUGUUUGGGGCAUAGUAGGUGAACAUAUGGCCCCUCAGAUGACGAUGUACCCAGGCCCUCUGGUGAUUCAUUUCUUGACUUAUAUGUGUCUCAUGUCGGUGGCAUUACUUUUAACAUUGGUUCAAGUAGUGGUGUUUGCCAUAAUAUUGGGCCCUCUGGCGAUUAUAUACGUGCUUGGGAUAUUCAUGUCCGGAGUGAUUUCAUUGUGGCGUCUGAUAGAGCACGAUUAUGGGAGCAACUCGGAUGGAGAAGCAUCAAACCUAUCGCCGGCUAUGGACACCUUGUACUACCUUGCUCUGCUCCAGGGUGUGCUCUUCUGCUAUAGGUUCGUGUUGGGUCGCGCGGAGAAGAGGAUGCCUAAGGCCGGGGCCGACUCGAAAGUUCAAGUAGUACUUCAGAAUUACUUGCGCGAAACAAAGAGAGGAUGUGAGAAGGACCCGACAUUUGCGGAAGGAAGGAACCUUACCUCAUAUGCUGUUGACAAGAUUGGUUCCAAUUCACCAGUUGACUGCAUUUCCGGGGUGAAGAUCUUGUACGCAGCCAUAAGCAUGGUGGAGAUGCAGGAUAUUUGGGAUAGUCCGAGCAAUGUCACUGGGCAGCGCAUGCUCAUGAAACAUCUGGUCUUGUCUGCAUCAUCCUCUCGACACGUACUGCAAAAAUUGCUAGAGAUGAUGGAUUCAAGAGGCCUACAUGACAGAGAGAUAAGAAACCAGGCCGCGACGAUAGUGGAGCGACUUGCAUUCUACAUUAAUUUGGAGCAGUUUCCUCGGGGUAUUCAACACAUAUCUUCCCUAAUCGGGACGUUUGAACAAUACAACUUAGCCGAGCCAUAUACCAGUUCCAAAAAAGAAUAUGAGCAUCAUUUGAAACUACAGGUCACUCGUCGGCGCCCUUCACUGGCAGGCGAACUUGGGGAAGCCUACAAGGAGUUGUUGUUACAAGGCCUGUCUAUCCUCCGGAAUCUUGCUGCCGACGAAAACAAUUGCAGAGUCAUGAGCGACACCCGGGAUCUAGUCUCCAAGAUCAUGGCGCCCGUCACUUCUGACCUACUCGACCACACCACUCGUGAUCAUGGUACAUGGUACGAAGUAGUAGAUCGAUCAAUGGAAGUGAUGAGCCAAUUAACCAAUGCUCAAGGAGAAACUGGGACCAAGCUACGUCGUGAAAUAUCAAGCGACGCAAAAGCAAUCGGCACUCUCCAGAGGAUUGUUAGCUGUAAAAAUUGUAAAGAAGAGCUGCGGCAAAGAGCCAUUUGGAUUCUCAGACGAUUGUACAAGGAUACUAUCGGAACAAACAUAUCAGCUAAUUUCGAUUUUCUCAAAAGAGGAAAUAGUUAUUGCAGAGAAGACUUUGUUAGGCUGCUAGUGAACAUCUUUACUCACAAUAACGAGUAUAGCAGCUCCAUCAGAGGAUAUGCAGGAGAAGCACUGUCUGAGAUAUGUUCCCUUGGCCGAAUUAGUGAUGCCACAAUUGUCAUACAAACAAGUGGUGAUGUUGUUGAUAGUUUCGCUCAAGUGCUUUUACAUGAAGAGGACAAGACAUGCGGACAAGCAGCUGCUGAAAUUCUUGAGCAUCUAUGUACCCAUUACACCAAGGAUGAUGAAUACCUUCGCAAACUUAAGAAGGCAAUCCUCGGGGUGAUUGGAAAAAUACUUUGUUGUGGAGACGUAACGCAUAAUGGAAAAGACAUAGAAAGCCUGUGUGAUGGCAAAGAAGAAUACAGUGAUCGGGACAAGAAGUACGAGGGAUUCCAGGUGGACGCACUCUCAAGUAUGCCAUUGAACUUGCUAUCGCCAUUGUUAUCCCUUUGUGGCACAGUCUACGACAUGAGGUUGAUCAUUGAUUUGCAUCCUCAGUUGGAUGCAUCUAACUUUCUAAACAAGCUCAAGCAGAUAGUAGUUGAAAAAAGUGACUCCACCGUCGAAAACUUGUCAUUGUGCAAGGCUACCGGUAAUAUGGUCAUAUCAAUGAUGAAAUACUACACUAGUGGCGGGUUCUUCAAGCAAGAGGACUUUGGAAGCUUGAUAGAGGCACUCUCUGGUACUUCCAAGAAAAUGCUGGAUCUCGACUACUCAGUGGUUUGUUCUUCUGCCAGCAGCUCCGAAACUAGAAUGAAGCUUGAUGGGCGCACUCUCGCGUCCCUCGUGAGAGAAGCGAAAGAACUGCUUGCUACCAGGCUACCAUCUGCCUCUUUCGGUGGUUGA
rnacentral:rRNA from 1 species